rnacentral:rRNA from 1 species
GACGAACGCUGGCGGCGUGCUUAACACAUGCAAGUCGAACGGAAAGGCCUGCUUUCCCUUGUGGAUUGCGGGUACUCGAGUGGCGAACGGGUGAGUAACACGUGAGUGAUCUGCCCCCAACUUGGGUAUAAGCCUGGGAAACUGGGUCUAAUUCCCGAUAGGACUGCAGGGUGGUGCCUGUGGUGGAAAACGAUUUUCUAGUGGUUGGGGAUGAGCUCGCGGCCUAUCAGCUUGUUGGUGGGGUAAUGGCCUACCAAGGCGGCGACGGGUAGCCGGCCUGAGAGGGUGGACGGCGACAUUGGGACUGGGAUACGGCCCAGACUCCUACGGGAGGCAGCAGUGGGGAAUAUUACACAAUGGGCGGAAGCCUGAUGCAGCGACGCCGCGUGGGGGAUGACGGCCUUCGGGUUGUAAACUCCUUUCGACCGAGAGGAAGCCACCUGGUUGGAAGGGUGGUGACGGUAGUGGUAGAAGAAGCACCGGCUAACUACGUG